GGUAUGGUGGCUCAGAUGGUAAAGCAUCUGCCUGCAAUGCAGGAGACCUGGGUUCGAUCCCUGGAUCA
rnacentral:tRNA from 1 species